rnacentral:rRNA from 1 species
UACGGAGGGUGCAAGCGUUGUCCGGAUUUAUUGGGUUUAAAGGGUGCGUAGGUGGUUUGAUAAGUCCGGGGUGAAAGCCCACAGCUCAACUGUGGAACUGCCCUGGAUACUGUCAGACUUGAGGGUAGACGAGGUUGGCGGAAUAGAAGGUGUAGCGGUGAAAUGCAUAGAUACCUUCUAGAACCCCGAUUGCGUAGACAGCUGACUAGGCUACACCUGACACUGAGGCACGAAAGCGUGGGGAGCGAACAGG